rnacentral:lncRNA from 1 species
GGUAUAUGAGUUUGUGUCGGGUCCGAGUGAGGUUCUUGAAGGAACCAGAGGUGGAGAUCGCAGAGGAUCUCACCUAUGUUGAGCAGCUAGUACAGACCGCAGACACGCAAGUUAGAAAGUGUGGAAACAAGGAAAUACCGAUGGUGAAAGUCCCUUAGGAUCACCUUAGAUGAUAAAGUACAUCAGGGAGACCGAGAGUUCAUACUCCAGUGACACCGUGUUUCUUUUU